GUUCUAACGUUGACCCGUAAUCCGGGUUGCGGACAGUGUCUGGUGGGUAGUUUGACUGGGGCGGUCUCCUCCUAAAGAGUAACGGAGGAGCACGAAGGUUGGCUAAUCCUGGUCGGACAUCAGGAGGUUAGUGCAAUGGCAUAAGCCAGCUUGACUGCGAGCGUGACGGCGCGAGCAGGUGCGAAAGCAGGUCAUAGUGAUCCGGUGGUUCUGAAUGGAAGGGCCAUCGCUCAACGGAUAAAAGGUACUCCGGGGAUAACAGGCUGAUACCGCCCAAGAGUUCAUAUCGACGGCGGUGUUUGGCACCUCGAUGUCGGCUCAUCACAUCCUGGGGCUGAAGUAGGUCCCAAGGGUAUGGCUGUUCGCCAUUUAAAGUGGUACGCGAGCUGGGUUUAGAACGUCGUGAGACAGUUCGGUCCCUAUCUGCCGUGGGCGCUGGAGAACUGAGGGGGGCUGCUCCUAGUACGAGAGGACCGGAGUGGACGCAUCACUGGUGUUCGGGUUGUCAUGCCAAUGGCACUGCCCGGUAGCUAAAUGCGGAAGAGAUAAGUGCUGAAAGCAUCUAAGCACGAAACUUGCC
rnacentral:rRNA from 1 species